GCAUAGCCUUAAACUAAAGUAUAUUAUAUUACAACAUACUCGCCCGGGUACUACGAGCACCAGCUUAAAACCCAAAGGACUUGGCGGUGCUUUACACCCACCUAGAGGAGCCUGUUCUAUAACUGAUAACCCCCGUUAAACCUCACCCUAUUUUGCCUAAUCAAUCUAUAUACCGCCGUCGUCAGCUUACCUUGUGAAAGAACAAUAGUGAGCAAAACUAGUUAUAACCCAAAACGUCAGGUCGAGGUGUAGUUUAUAAUAGGGAAAGAAAUGGGCUACACUCAUUUAUUAAUGAAUACGGAUGGUAUAUUGAAACAUAAACCUAAAGGAGGAUUUAGCAGUAAGAAGAAAAUAGAGUGUUCAUCUGAAAUCGGCUCUAAAGCGCG
rnacentral:rRNA from 1 species